rnacentral:rRNA from 1 species
UGGGGAAUAUUGCGCAAUGGGGGAAACCCUGACGCAGCAACGCCGCGUGGGUGAUGAAGGUUUUCGGAUCGUAAAACCCUGUUUUCUGGGACGAUAAUGACGGUACCAGAUGAGGAAGCCACGGCUAACUACGUGCCAGCAGCCGCGGUAAUACGUAGGUGUCAAGCGUUGUCCGGAUUUACUGGGCGUAAAGGGUGCGUAGGCGGAUGCUUAAGUGAGAUGUGAAAUACCUAGGCUUAACUUAGGGGCUGCAUUUCAAACUGGGCAUCUAGAGUACAGGAGAGGGAAACGGAAUUCCUAGUGUAGCGGUGAAAUGCGUAGAGAUUAGGAAGAACACCAGUGGCGAAGGCGGUUUCCUGGACUGUAACUGACGCUGAGGCACGAAAGCGUGGGUAGCAAACAGGAUUAGAUACCCUGGUA